rnacentral:rRNA from 1 species
GACAGAGGUUGCAAACGUUGUUCGGAAUCACUGGGCAUAAAGCGCACGUAGGCGGUCUGUUAAGUCAGGUGUGAAAGCCCCCGGCUCAACCGGGGAACAGCAUUUGAUACUGGCAGACUCGAGGAUGGUAGGGGUGAGUGGAACUCCAGGUGGAGCGGUGAAAUGCGUAGAUAUCGUUUGGAACGCCAAAGGUGAAAACAGACAGCUGGGAGUGUGCUGACGCUGAGACACGAAAGCCAGGGGAGCGAACGGG